GGGCUUGGCCUCAAUCCCCUAGAUGUCUUCAAUAUAAUCUUCAAUUGUCAGGAGAAGAGAACUUGAUGGACCUUGCUUGGACAAAAUGCCUUCACCGCUAACUCAGUCAGCUAUGGCGAUGGGUCAAGGACCUGGUGGUUUUACAGAGAAGACCCUUGGUCAAAUCUUUGUGAAUGAAGCAACCAUUCUGAUGUUCAAUAACAGGAAUGCACCAGUUUAUACCAAACUAUCUGUACUAUUGAGAACAGCAAAAAUAUCUGACCAAAAACACCAAAGAGUGACAUUUUAAAAGACAUCAAAGAACUCUCAAGGCUUCCAGAGUUGGAAAGA
rnacentral:lncRNA from 10 species